UAUAACCAGAUACAGUGGGCAGAUAUCCCUAAGCCUCUGAGGACAAAUGCAGAAUUUGCCCAAUUAAACUAGUCACUGAAUAGUCACUGAGAACCCCCUCCCCGAAGCCAGACAGUAUGAGAUCUCCGGCGUGACUCCCGGCAGCGUAGCACCUCCCUGCCAAACAAACAUCAGCUGUAGUGUUGGGUUGACGUUGUGUGAGGUGAGGUGGUUGUAAUGAUGGCACAACCAGCGGAUAUGGUCUUCGACGACCAGGAAGUUGUGAAGUUAUACAAGGAGUCUCGUCCCACACCACCUGAGAACCUCAUCUCUACAGUGGUAGACUUCGUCAAGGAGAAAUUAGUGGAGCCACUACAGCUGUGUGUGGACGUGGGUUGUGGCUCAGGGCAGAACACUAACAUUGUUAACUUCUCACAGGUG